AGAGCACAGGACUUAGAGUCCAAGGACUUGGGCUGGGUCCUGGCUGGUGCCUACAUUCUGUGAGAUCGUUCCAGUCCCUUCUGAGCCCCAGCUUGCAGCCAGCUAAGUGGAAGGAAAAGCCCCAGCCUCUCCCUUCUCUCAGGGAAGCAGGGAGAGGUUAACCAGAGCCCUUUUCAAAUGCAAACGCCCCUGGAGGAAGAAACCGUAUUCCACGGGCCCCAGCCGCACAGCACCUGUGCCCAAUAAAUAUUUACUGAAUUAAA